UUACCUACGGGUGGCUGCAGUCGAGAAUCUUCGGCAAUGGGCGCAAGCCUGACCGAGCGACGCUGCGUGUGGGAUGAAGGCCCUUGGGUUGUAAACCACUGUCAGAGGGGAUGAAAGCGUAAGCUUGACAGAGCCUCAGAGGAAGCGCGGGCUAAGUUCGUGCCAGCAGCCGCGGUAAUACGAACUGCGCGAACGUUAUUCGGAAUCACUGGGCUUACAGGGUGCGUAGGCGGCCUUUCAGGUCCGAUGUGAAAUCCCCGGCUCAACUGGGGAACGGCAUUGGAAACCGAUUGGCUUGAGUGAGCUAGAGAUGUACGGAACUUCCGGUGGAGCGGUGAAAUGUGUUGAGAUCGGAAGGAACACCAGAGGCGAAAGCGGUACAUUGGGGCUUGUCUGACGCUGAGGCACGAAAGCCAGGGGAGCGAACGGGAUUAGAUACCCCAGUAGUCA
rnacentral:rRNA from 1 species